rnacentral:tRNA from 1 species
GGGAAGUUGGCUCAGUGGUAGAGUGCUUGCCUUGCAUGCAUGAGGCCCUAGGUUCAAUUCCUCAUCACCACA